UACGGGGGGGGCAAGCGUUGUUCGGAAUUACUGGGCGUAAAGGGCUCGUAGGCGGCCAACUAAGUCCGACGUGAAAUCCCCAGGCUUAACCUGGGAACUGCGUCCGAUACUGGAUGGCUUGAAUUCGGGAGAGGGAUGCAGAAUUCCAGGUGUAGCGGUGAAAUGCGUAGAUAUCUGGAGGAACACCGGUGGCGAAGGCGGCAUCCUGGACCAACACUGACGCUGAGUGAGCGAAAGCCAGGGGAGCAAACGGG
rnacentral:rRNA from 1 species